rnacentral:rRNA from 1 species
CAGUCGCCGCGGGAAGACGGAGGGUGCUAGCGUUGUUCGGAAUCACUGGGCGUAAAGGGCGCGUAGGCGGCCUGUUAAGUCGGAUGUGAAAGCCCGGGGCUCAACCCCGGAACUGCAUCCGAGACUGGCAGGCUUGAGACCGGGAGAGGAGGGUGGAAUAUCCAGUGUAGAGGUGAAAUUCGUAGAUAUUGGAUGGAACACCGGUGGCGAAAGCGGCUCUCUGGCCCGGAUCUGACGCUGAGGCGCGAAAGCGUGGGGAGCAAACAGGAUUAGAUACCCCUGUAGUCCCUGUCUCUUAUAA